rnacentral:rRNA from 1 species
AGAGUUUGAUCCUGGCUCAGAUUGAACGCUGGCGGCGUGCUUAACACAUGCAAGUCGAGCGGCAGCGCGGGAGCAAUCCUGGCGGCGAGCGGCGAACGGGUGAGUAAUGCUUCGGAAUCUGCCCUUCAGUGGGGAAUAACCAGCCGAAAGGUUGGCUAAUACCGCAUACGAACUGAGGUUGAAAGCAGGGGAUCGCAAGACCUUGCGCUGAUGGAUGAGCCGAAGUCGGAUUAGCUAGUUGGUGGGGUAACGGCCCACCAAGGCGACGAUCCGUAGCUGGUCUGAGAGGACGACCAGCCAUACUGGGACUGAGACACGGCCCAGACUCCUACGGGAGGCAGCAGUGGGGAAUAUUGGACAAUGGGGGCAACCCUGAUCCAGCGACGCCGCGUGUGUGAAGAAGGCCUGCGGGUUGUAAAGCACUUUUAGUGGGGAGGAAGGUCUGCGACCUAACACGUCGUGGAAUUGACUUAACCCACAGAAAAAGCACCGGCUAACUCUGUGCCAGCAGCCGCGGUAAUACAGAUGGUGCAAGCGUUAAUCGGAAUUACUGGGCGUAAAGCGUGCGUACGCGGUUUCGUAAGUCCGGUGUGAAAGCCCCGGGC